UUAAUUAAAGCUAAAAAGAAGUAACUCACUGUUAAUGAGAAGAAUGAUCAAAAAUCUAAUUAAA
rnacentral:tRNA from 1 species